CAGUACAAACAGGAUACAACCACAACUAAAUGAAUAUAGAAAUAAUUAUUCAUUCAUACAUUCAUACAUUCAUACAUUCACCAUUCACAUCACAGAUUUGCAUUUAAUAUUUAAACAUAAAUCCACAGAAAAUUCUUUUGAAAACUGUUUCCUAUACAGAAACCUUUAUUCUUUAAAAACGCUACCACGAGGGGUAGAAAACCUUUCCAUUUCACAAAAUUCACAAAUCCAUUUAUUACAUUCAUGAAAACCCAUAUUUUCAAAUGUAAUAAAAUAUACUGAACCAUAUAAACUAUCUAAGCUAUAUCAACAUAAUAGUAAGGGUAGAACUAAACCGAAUAACCUGGGUCGGAA
rnacentral:lncRNA from 1 species